rnacentral:rRNA from 1 species
AACGAACGCUGGCGGCAGGCUUACACAUGCAAGUCGAACGGUAACAGGCCGCAAGGUGCUGACGAGUGGCGAACGGGUGAGUAAUGCAUCGGAACGUGCCCAGUCGUGGGGGAUAACGCAGCGAAAGCUGUGCUAAUACCGCAUACGAUCUAUGGAUGAAAGCGGGGGACCGUAAGGCCUCGCGCGAUUGGAGCGGCCGAUGUCAGAUUAGGUAGUUGGUGGGGUAAAGGCUCACCAAGCCAACGAUCUGUAGCUGGUCUGAGAGGACGACCAGCCACACUGGGACUGAGACACGGCCCAGACUCCUACGGGAGGCAGCAGUGGGGAAUUUUGGACAAUGGGCGCAAGCCUGAUCCAGCAAUGCCGCGUGCAGGAAGAAGGCCUUCGGGUCGUAAACUGCUUUUGUACGGAACGAAAAGGUUUGGGUUAAUACCCUGGGCCGAUGACGGUACCGUAAGAAUAAGCACCGGCUAACUACGUGCCAGCCGCCGCCGUAAAAC